rnacentral:rRNA from 1 species
ACGAGUGAGUAACGCGUGGGUAACCUGCCUCACCCUGGGGGAUAACAGUUAGAAAUGACUGCUAAUACCGCAUAACCCGAUAGGAUCGCAUGAUCCAGACGGAAAAGAUUUAUCGGUGUGAGAUGGACCCGCGUCUGAUUAGCUAGUUGGUGAGGUAACGGCCCACCAAGGCAACGAUCAGUAGCCGGCCUGAGAGGGUGAACGGCCACAUUGGGACUGAGACACGGCCCAAACUCCUACGGGAGGCAGCAGUGGGGAAUAUUGCACAAUGGGGGAAACCCUGAUGCAGCGACGCCGCGUGAGUGAAGAAGUAUUUCGGUAUGUAAAGCUCUAUCAGCAGGGAAGAAAAUGACGGUACCUGACUAAGAAGCCCCGGCUAACUACGUGCCAGCAGCCGCGGUAAUACGUAGGGGGCAAGCGUUAUCCGGAUUUACUGGGUGUAAAGGGAGCGUAGACGGUCAAGCAAGUCAGAAGUGAAAGGCUGGGGCUCAACCCCGGGACUGCUUUUGAAACUGCUUGACUGGAGUGCUGGAGAGGUAAGCGGAAUUCCUAGUGUAGCGGUGAAAUGCGUAGAUAUUAGGAGGAACACCAGUGGCGAAGGCGGCUUACUGGACAGUAACUGACGUUGAGGCUCGAAAGCGUGGGGAGCAAACAGGAUUAGAUACCCUGGUAGUCCACGCCGUANACGAUGAAUACUAGGUGUCGG